rnacentral:tRNA from 1 species
GCCUUCGUAGCGUAGUGGUCAGCACACUCGACGCGUAACCGAGAGGUCCGUGGUCCGAAUCCCCGGCAAGGGCA